rnacentral:ncRNA from 1 species
UAAGCGCAUUCCGAAAAGCAUGUAGAGUAGGAG